rnacentral:rRNA from 1 species
CACGUAGGGGGCAAGCGUUGUCCGGAAUUAUUGGGCGUAAAGAGCUCGUAGGCGGUCUGUUGCGUCCGCUGUGAAAACUCGGGGCUUAACCCCGAGCCUGCAGUGGAUACGGGCAGACUAGAGGUAGGUAGGGGAGAAUGGAAUUCCCGGUGUAGCGGUGAAAUGCGCAGAUAUCGGGAGGAACACCGGUGGCGAAGGCGGUUCUCUGGGCCUUACCUGACGCUGAGGAGCGAAAGCGUGGGGAGCGAACAGG